AGGAAAAGAAACCAACAGGGAUUGCCUCAGUAACGGCGAGUGAAGCGGCAAAAGCUCAAAUUUGAAAUCUAGCACUUUCAGUGUUCGAGUUGUAAUUUGAAGAAGGUAACUUUGGUUUUGGCUCUUGUCUAUGUUCCUUGGAACAGGACGUCACAGAGGGUGAGAAUCCCGUGCGAUGAGAUGCCCAAUUCCAUGUAAAGUGCUUUCGAAGAGUCGAGUUGUUUGGGAAUGCAGCUCUAAGUGGGUGGUAAAUUCCAUCUAAAGCUAAAUAUUGGCGAGAGACCGAUAGCGAACAAGUACAGUGAUGGAAAGAUGAAAAGAACUUUGAAAAGAGAGUGAAAAAGUACGUGAAAUUGUUGAAAGGGAAGGGCUUGAGAUCAGACUUGGUAUUUUGCGUUCCCUUCCUUUUUGGUUGGGUUCCUCGCAGUUUACUGGGCCAGCAUCGGUUUGGAUGGUAGGAUAAUGACAUUGGAAUGUAGCUUUACUUCGGUGAAGUGUUAUAGACUUUGUUGAUACUGCCUAUCUAGACCGAGGACUGCGUCUUUGACUAGGAUGCUGGCGUAAUGAUCUUAAGCCGCCC
rnacentral:rRNA from 1 species